GGGCUUGGGAUAUGGCCCAAUGGGUACAGGUUUGCUAUGUGAACAUGAAUAUGGGUUUGGAUUCCCAGCGCACACAUUUUUAAAAAGCACUAAUUUUGACCAUCUGCAAAAGUUUUCACCAUCGAAGAUGCUCAACCACCAAGGAAACGGAGCCCAGAAUAACAGUACAUUAUCAACCUGCUCAACAAGAGGGAAACCAUGCCUGGUACUGGAAACCUAGCCAACUGCUAGCGAAGUCAUGGAUCUUGGAGGAGAACCUACAACUACCACUUUACUAAGCCAGCAUCAUCCCUGACUACAUUCUAACCUUGGUCUGUAUACCAACAGCUGAGAACUUCCCAGAAGAUGCUCUGGCUGCCUCUCUGUCCAUUUCUCCCAACGUGACCAUCACGGUGAGAAGAUCGCCUAUUACCCUGUCCCCUGGCUUAGGCUACCCUGCUGGUGAUGCAUAGGCUCAUCAGGAAAAGUGGCUGUGACCUGUGAGCUGCACACAAUGUUGGCUCCCUGCCAACUCAGCAGAAGACAGAGGACCAGAGACAUGUCUGGAAGGUUUUUGUCCUGAUCGCUCUUCUCCCAAACUCGAGGCUUAGCCAGAGUCCAAGCUGCCCAGUGUGCCUGGAAUGGCCUUUGUUGUCUCCCAAGAUGGCAGACUGGAGAAGUUGGUGUUGGGUGCUUCCAGCUCUGGGUACCAUAAAGAAACAGGAAGCAAUCCCAUGAGGGAGAACACACAGACAAGAUCCUGCAGAUUCCAAGCAUGCUGCACCAGUGCUCGGUGGGGAGCAGCCCCUGAGCUCCUGCAGGGCUCCUAAAUGUCCACCAUUUAAAGCAGCGGCAAAUGAAUGUGGUUCUGUCUCCAAAAAUAGUCUUAAGAGAGUCUAAAAUCGCCUUCUAGCCUAAGCCGGACCAGUCCCUCGGGAAUGAUGUCGCUAUUUCUAAAACAUCCCUGCUUUCCCAGCACGCCUUUGUCAGAUCCCAACUUCCAUCUGGGCUCUCCCAGUCAGUCAUUCCCCUCCUGCCUGGUCCCUCUCUACCCUGCAUUGCCUGAGCUAUCUCUCAAGCAGGAAAUUCUCAAAUUGUGCCUUCCUCUUGAUGUUACUAAGUUUGAGACCUUUUAAUCUGGCACGUGGCUUAGGAGAGCAGAAACAGUUCCCUUGGAAGCUCCUAGAAAUUUGGAGGUACAGAGAGGAGGAUAAGGAGUUCAAGGCCAGCCUUGGCUACAUAGAGAAUCUGAGCCCAGCCUGGGCUCUAUGAGACUCUUAAUAAAAAUGAUAAUGAUGGUGAAGAUGACCAUGGUAAUGGUAACAAUAAUGACAACAAUGAAACAAAUCUUUUAAAAAAAUAAAUGGUUCCUUGGAGAAGUGACCUGUAAUGCAGUUGUGAUAUCAUUCCUAAGAAUGAAGGUUGCAAAGUAAAAUCAUAUUCCCACAGAGGCUGGACCUCUCUAAUAGACAUAUUCUGUGAAGUGGGAGAUAGUUCUAAUUUGCUUUCUCUGUAUGCAAGUUUGUCUGUUCUGGAAACAUACAGUAGGUAAUUUCAUGUUUGGCUUCUCUCACCUAAUCAAUUUUUUGAGGCUAAUCUGUGUUGUAGCAUUUACCAGAACCUCUUUUCCUUUUAUAUAGCUGAGUAAUAUUCCAUUGUAUAGAUACACCACAUUUUGUUUGUCCAUUUAUGAGAUCAUAGACAUAUGGGUUAUUUCUGCCUUUUACCUGUAAGAAAUAGCACUGCUGUAAGUAUUAAUGAACCUGCUUCUGUUGAAACA